CUGAUUGACGAUGGAUCACCAGUGAGUGGCGGACGGGUGAGUAACACGUAGGUAACCUGCCCCGGAGCGGGGGAUAACAUUUGGAAACAGAUGCUAAUACCGCAUAACAACAAAAGCCGCAUGGCUUUUGUUUGAAAGAUGGCUUUGGCUAUCACUCUGGGAUGGACCUGCGGUGCAUUAGCUAGUUGGUAAGGUAACGGCUUACCAAGGCGAUGAUGCAUAGCCGAGUUGAGAGAC
rnacentral:rRNA from 1 species